rnacentral:rRNA from 1 species
GAUGAACGCUGGCGGCGUGCCUAACACAUGCAAGUCGAACGGAGUUAACCGCUGAGAAGUCUUCGGAUGGAUCAUGGUUAACUUAGUGGCGGACGGGUGAGUAACGCGUGAGUAACCUGCCUUUCAGAGGGGGAUAACAUUCUGAAAAGAAUGCUAAUACCGCAUAACAUAUUGAUAUCGCAUGGUAUUAAUAUCAAAGGAGCAAUCCGCUGAAAGAUGGACUCGCGUCCGAUUAGCUAGUUGGUGGGGUAAAGGCCUACCAAGGCGACGAUCGGUAGCCGGACUGAGAGGUUGAACGGCCACAUUGGGACUGAGACACGGCCCAGACUCCUACGGGAGGCAGCAGUGGGGAAUAUUGCGCAAUGGGGGAAACCCUGACGCAGCAACGCCGCGUGAAGGACGAAGGUCUUCGGAUUGUAAACUUCUUUUAUUAAGGACGAAACAAAUGACGGUACUUAAUGAAUAAGCUCCGGCUAACUACGUGCCAGCAGCCGCCG